UACGUAGGUGACCAGCGUUGUCCGGAUUUACUGGGCGUAAAGAGCGCGCAGGCGGUCGUUCAAGUCGAGUGUGAAAGCCCCCGGCUCAACUGGGGAGGGUCAUUCGAUACUGAUCGACUCGAAGGCAGGAGAGGGAAGCGGAAUUCCCGGUGUAGUGGUGAAAUGCGUAGAUAUCGGGAGGAACACCAGUGGCGAAGGCGG
rnacentral:rRNA from 1 species